rfam:Callorhinchus milii scaf_1099306910261, whole genome shotgun sequence.
AAAGUGGCAUACGCCACUGCCAUGGAUUGGUUCAUUGCUGUGUGUUAUGCCUUC